UGGGGAAUAUUGGACAAUGGGCGAAAGCCUGAUCCAGCCAUGCCGCGUGAGUGAUGAGGCCCUAGGGUUGUAAAGCUCUUUCAACGGUGAAGAUAAUGACGGUAACCGUAGAAGAAGCCCCGGCUAACUUCGUGCCAGCAGCCGCGGUAAUACGAAGGGGGCUAGCGUUGUUCGGAAUUACUGGGCGUAAAGCGCAAGUAGGCGGACAUUUAAGUCAGGGGUGAAAUCCCGGGGCUCAACCCCGGAACUGCCUUUGAUACUGGGUGUCUAGAGUCCGGAAGAGGUGAGUGGAAUUCCGAGUGUAGAGGUGAAAUUCGUAGAUAUUCGGAGGAACACCAGUGGCGAAGGCGGCUCACUGGUCCGGUACUGACGCUGAGGUGCGAAAGCGUGGGGAGCAAACA
rnacentral:rRNA from 1 species